rnacentral:rRNA from 1 species
GAUGAGCGCUGGCGGCGUGCCUAAUACAUGCAAGUCGAGCGAACAGACGAGGAGCUUGCUCCUCUGACGUUAGCGGCGGACGGGUGAGUAACACGCGGAUAACCUACCUAUAAGACUGGGAUAACUUCGGGAAACCGGAGCUAAUACCGGAUAAUAUAUUGAACCGCAUGGUUCAAUAGUGAAAGACGGUUUUGCUGUCACUUAUAGAUGGAUCCGCGCCGCAUUAGCUAGUUGGUAAGGUAACAGCUUACCAAGGCAACGAUGCGUAGCCGACCUGAGAGGGUGAUCGGCCACACUGGAACUGAGACACGGUCCAGACUCCUACGGGAGGCAGCAGUAGGGAAUCUUCCGCAAUGGGCGAAAGCCUGACGGAGCAACGCCGCGUGAGUGAUGAAGGUCUUCGGAUCGUAAAACUCUGUUAUUAGGGAAGAACAAAUGUGUAAGUAACUAUGCACGUCUUGACGGUACCUAAUCAGAAAGCCACGGCUAACUACGUG